AUGGUUUUCACAGCUUUUGUUAUCACCUCCGCCUUGACAAAAUCUGUAGGGCAAUCUCUCCUAAAAUCCAACGUCAAUUCCACAGCUAAUCCCAAGUCUUUCACCAGCUGAAAAGCAUUCAUGUGUUGCUCAGCAUAUAAUGGCCAAGUUAUAAUAGGCACAGCAUACCACAAGGCCUCCAAAGUUGAGUUCCAUCCACAGUGUGAUACGAAAGCGCCUACUGCUUUAUGUGCCAAGAUUUCUACUGUGGUGCCCAUCCACAUAGCAUCCCAAUGUUUUUAGUUCUUUCCAAGAAUCCCUGUGGCAAGAUCUCUUCAUAGUUGUCAAAAAAACUAGCUUGCAGCAUCCCCUUGGAGGGUUUCAACCGGAUGGACCAUAAGAACCUAUGUCCACUCCUCUCGAGCCCGAUUGCAAUUUCUUUCAACUGAGCUUCAUCAAAGCCUCCUCCACUCCCGAAGCACAAGAACACCACUGAUUUUUCAGGUUGAUCAUCAAGCCAUUUCAAGAUCUCGUCACGCUUGACGCCAUCGGAUCCUGACAGACUCUUUCCCUUGUGAUCAAUCAAUGGCCCAACAUUGAAAAUAGGUGGUAUAUCAUCUCUAGCCAAAAGAGCACUAACUGCAUGGGACUCAGCUUCUGAAAAUGUAUUAACAAUGAUACCGUUGGAGUCCUUAAACUUUCUUCCAUGGUUUGCAAAAGUCUCGUAUUCCACAUCGGUGUGCAAUAACGACAUAACACGGUAAGGCACGGGAUUUGAAAAACAGGGGAUGAUAUAGUCAGGGUCAGUAGGGCUAAACUUAGGCUCACCCUUGUCUUGUCUAUCUGAAAGGUAAAGCGUCAUGGCAAGAAAGGCAGCAUCAGAAGUGAAAAAAACAUGAGAAGGGACCCCAAGUUCUUUGGAAACAUCAAUAAAUGCAGUGCAGAACAUAUCAACAACAACACUAGCAAUUGGUGCAGGGUUGUGGGCCAUGACUUGGUUAACAAUAGUAUCUUUUACAAGGGUUUUGUGAUCAUUGAUGUAAGAAGUAUAAGCACUUGCAGGGCUUACAGCUAAAGCUUCUGGAGGAGGUGCAGGUAUGGUCUCAGGAAUUUCGAUGAACCUGAUUUCUGUAUGAAUUGAAGCAAGCGAUUCGCUGUUCUUGCUUAUGCUACCGUAAAAUGGAUUGUUGAUGGCAAGCAUGGUUAUCAAGAAACUGUCGUUUCUCUUAAGAACCAUCUUUGCUAACUGAACAGCUGAUACAAGGUGGCCAAAUCCAGGUGCAGGGACAAAGACGAGCUGUGUUUUCUUCAUUUUGGAGGUUUUGAAUGUUCAAUGUGGUGAUCCUUGUUUGCCUUAUAAUGGGCUCAAGGUCAAUGCUAGCUGUUAUGUUUUUUUUUUUUUUUCUAAAUUAAUCAUCAAAUCAAAUUGGAUAUAACAAAUAUUACGAAGAUUGAUUUCAUAGAAAAAUUUUCUUGUAAUGUUUUUAAACAAUUCAAAUUAAAUAAAAAAAAUAUAAAUAUAAAAGAAAAUAAAGCUAGGGUUUCAUUAAUCAUUUUAUUCUGAAAUUAUAUUUUUAAUCUAAAUAUAAAAAAAUUAUAUAUAAACUAAACUAAAAAUACUAUUUUAUUUUUAAUAAAUAAAAUUAAAUAAAUAUACUUUUUAACAACAUUCAUCUUUCCCGUAAAAUAUCUUUUACUAUGAUAAUUUAAUUAAGUAUCACUUGAUUAAAAUAUAUUUUAAAAAUUAAAGAUUAUAUUAUAAUUAAUACAAGAGUUAUAUUUCUAGACCUAGAAAAAUCAAGUAAGGAUUUAAUUGAUUAAAUUUCUAAAAUUAAUUACCCUUAUAUAAUAUAUGGAUAUUAUUUAAGAGCAAAUAAAUAUAUUUUGUCAUUUAUACGGUUUUAUGAUUUCUUAUAAAUAUAAAACUAAGCCUAUUAUUUUGUAAAUAAAAAAUAAUGAUUGUCUGUUAAAUAGAAAAAUUAUGUAAAUAUAAUAUUAGAGCUAACACUCUAUACAUAACAAUUUAUCAUUUCUAAACAAAAAUUUAUGAGUUUUUUUCACGGGUAGUUUGUGUAUAUUAUCAUUAGAGAUCAGGUAAUGAAAUUAUUUAUAGUUUAUGUCAACCUAACUUUUAAAAAAUAAUUUAAAAUAAAAAAAUAAAUAUUUAAAUAAUUUUAAACUUAAUAUAAUAUGAUAUAAGAAAUGAUAUCCUGUUAGUGCGAGUUUGUGUGUAUUGACAACUUAAUAUAUUCAGUCAUGCGAAUUCUUUGUAGUUGUUAACUUGUUAUGGUUUCAAAUUGAGGAAGGACGUAGUUUUUAAUGUCAACAACAAUGAUUGAUUGUGAUUGCAUUUAAUAGCUAGACAGUUACAUGGCUAGAAAGAAUCCAAAGAUAUAAUAUAUACAUGAUGAUAUUCUAUUUAAAUUUAUUAAAUGGCAAUUUCGUAGGAAUUGCUAAAGUGUUAAAUUGUGGAUGAAGUUUUUUAUGAAUUUUUAUUUUUAUUUUAUUCUAUUGUACUUUUCAUCAUUGAUAGUUAUUUAUGAAAAAUAUUAUAUCACAAUUUAUAUCAAAAUUAUUGACACAAAAAUUCUAUCACUAUUAUCUUCUAAAAUUAUUGAUGAAAAUUUUUUCAUUGCCAUUUCUGAUUUUAUUUAUUAAUUUUCUGGUAAUAAUAAUCUUAUGCUCAGGUUUAUAAUCCUAUAAUUAAAAAAAUAGUAUCUGAAAUUGAAACUUAAAAGAAGAUUAAACCUUCCAUUUUUAAAUUAUAUGAAAUGUUGAUAAUACAACUAAUCAAACAUAAACUAACAAUCAUUAAUUUAAACAAAAUUUAAGAAUUGAUGGUAUGAUUCCAUAAAUUAAUUAUUAAAAUUACAUUUUAUAAAUUUUUAUCAAGUAAUUCUACCAUCAAUUCCUAAAAUCUAACAAUCAUUUAAACAAAAUUUAAGAAUUGAUGAUAGAAUUACUUGGUAAAAUUUUAUAAAAAUAAGCAAACUUUCUUAAUAAUCAUAUACACCCAUCCUUCUUAUUAAAUGACAUUUAAAUGUCUAAAGUAAAGAAUACCUACAUCUAGCUAAAACAAAAUUCGGGAUUCUUCUACAAUAAAAAUGCUAUCAUUUCAUGCACGCAUCAUAAACGAAAAAUCCAAACCAACAUGAUCAUAUAUAUAUAUAUAUAUAUAUAUAUAUAAAUGUAAUGACACAUAAACUUUCCAGUCAAAAUAUUAUAUUUUGAAGAGUGAAAAUACAAACAAUGUUAGUUAAUCUAAAGCUAUCACAUGCCCAACUAUUCUAAUGGCUCUAAUUUUCAACUACUAAUGAAAAAAAAAAUACUAAAAAGUAUUUUUAUAUAUUAAUUAAAAUAAAGUAUACAAUAUUAAGAUUAUUCAAAAUGUUAGACUCACAUCAUGCAUAAACUCAUAUGAGCUUAUCUUUUAAUGUAUCAUGAAUGAUUUUAUUGGUGUGGGUUUUUUUUUUAUAUAUAAUCCUGAAUAUUUAGAUUAUAUUUUUAUAUGUACCUUAAUUAAUUUUUUUAAAAUUCUAAAUUUUACAACCAUGUGAUGUAUUGAUGGGGAAGGCAGUGAGGUGGUGACUGUUUCUGGAGGGACGGGUGCUUGUAAAUUAGAUAGUGAUGGGUCGACAAGCCAUGGCCAUAAGCAAAAAGAUAAAGGACGAGGAGAGGGAGAAAAAGUUGUGCAUAUUUUGUGCAACAUGUGAUGGUGGAACAGGAUAAAGGACGAGGAGAGGGAGAAAAAGUUGUGAAUCCCUGUGGCAAGAUCUCUCCAUAGUUGUCAAAAAAACUAGCUUGCAGCAUCCCCUUGGAGGGUUUCAACCGAAUGGACCAUAAGAACCUAUGUCCACUCCUCUCGAGCCCGAUUGCAAUUUCUUUCAACUGAGCUUCAUCAAAGCCUCCUCCGCUCCCGAAGCACAAGAACACCACUGAUUUUUCAGGUUGAUCAUCAAGCCAUUUCAAGAUCUCGUCACGCUUGACGCCAUCGGAUCCUGACAGACUCUUUCCCUUGUGAUCAAUCAAUGGCCCAACAUUGAAAAUAGGUGGUAUAUCAACUCUAGCCAAAAGAGCACUAACUGCAAGGGACUCAGCUUCUGAAAAUGUAUUAACAAUGAUACCGUUGGAGUCCUUAAACUUUCUUCCAUGGUUUGCAAAAGCCUCAUAUUCCACAUCGAUGUGCAAUAACGGCAAAAGACGGUAAGGCACGGGAUUUGAAUAAGAGGGGAUGAUAUAGUGUCAGUAGGGCUAAACUUAGGCUCACCCUUGUCUUGUCUAUCUGAAAGGUAAAGCAUCGUGGCAAGAAAGGCAGCAUCAGAAGUGUAAAAAACAUGAGAAGGGACCCCAAGUUCUUUGGCAAUAUCAAUAAAUGCAGUCACUACAAGAUUUAACAGUUUUACUGAUGGAAUUUCCGUCAGUGUAAGACACAUAUUCCAUCGGUAAUUAAUUUACCGACGACAUGACCGACGAAGAAUUUCUGUCGGUGAAUCUUUAUGAUUACAUAUCUGAUAAUCAAUGUUUUGCAGGUAUGAGAUGCAGGAUCUGCAUGUUUCUGAGACCCUUCCUCAAAUGGUUGCUCUCUCUGAGGCAUACCUGCAGAUAUAUGAGCAGCAGCAGUAGCACUGGAGUUUAGAAGUCCUAUUGUCAACAUGUUGUCAUACUGUUUUUGGGUACAAGUAACACAAGAGUCUUACCUUCUGUAAAUGGUUGAGGAAAAAUCGGAAUAUGAUGGAACCAUUGCUUGACUGGCACUUGGCAGAUUUACUAAGCUUAGAAAAACAUUGAGGUUUUGUAGAAAAAAGGCAGUGCUUUGUCUGUUUCAUACCAUUAAAAGGAUGAACAGUUUUGUUACUAAAAAACUUUCCAUCUAUUGUAGCAGAGCAGGAAACUUAAAUAAUGCGGUGAUGAUUGACUUAGGUGAUUCAGACAGUGACUUCGGUUUGGUUGUCAUGCUUUGUGUACAACUUUGAUCUGUAGGGAUAAAAAAUGAUAUGCUAGGCUUUGGUUUGUUCAUUGUUACCGAGUUCUCAUGGCAGUAAUGUCAUGAAAAGCAGUAUUCGUAGGCUUCUCUUGUUUUAUUGUCGACACUUCAUUGCCUGGAUUUCUUUCUGCUAGUAUUUUUCUUACAGUGAUGUGGUGGAUUGUAUUCUGUUUCGUAUUGUUGUGAUUUUUUGAAGUGCAGCAGUUUCUACUUGAAAAAAGUGUUAAUGCAAACAGAUUUACCAGAGACAGAGACAGCCUGAAUUGAAGGUAUGUAUGCGUCCUAUCAAAUACACACAGCCCUGCUUGAAUGGUAUGUGUGCCUCCUUUCAGAUAAAGUAGUCCAGCACACGGGGAAGCCCUAAUAUUAAAUGGAGUGCUCAGUGAUGGAGAUUGCAAGCAAUGCCCUCGGUAGGGAAGUCACUGAAUGGAGGCCACGAGCCAGCAACCGAGACUUGAUCCCCGAGUUUUUGUCGGGACGGAGACAGUAAAGAUCCCCCCUUGAUUCAUAGCCACUUUCUAAAGGUUUCAAGUUGAGACUUGAUCUCCUGGUUUUGGACAUCGCUCUUUGGAGGUAUAAAACUAGUAUAAAUGUAAUAAUGUUUUUUUUUUUUGGUAUGAUUAAAUUUUGGAUUGGAUUUGAUUUAAAUAAAAACUUAACUCACAUUAAAUUAUUCAAUAAAUCUUAACUAACACAUCGAGGAAUCUAGAUUAUUUAAUUUGCAAUGAACCAUUUCGAUCCUUGUAUUUUCUCUCUAAAUGAUAAAAAUGAUAAAGGAGAGGCAUCAAACAAUUAUCACCUCCACAUAUUUUUAUUUGAAGUGUAUAUUAACGAGUUGGGGUGAGCAAAAAACCGAGAAAUCAAGAAAACUAAAAAAAAAAUAACUGAAAAAAUCGAAUCGUGAAAAAAAAAAAACUGAUUAAAUUUUUUAAAAAACUGACCGGUUUGGUAUUGGUUUUAUAAGCCUAAAACCAAAUCGAAUCGAAAAAAAUCGAGCCAAACCGGAAAAAAUCGAGCCAAAUUGGAAAACUGAGCCAAACUGAAAAAAACCGGCCGGUUCGAACCGGUUUCAGUUCGGUUUCGAUUUUUUUCUUAAUUUUUUUUUUAUUUGGUUACUUUUUUGAUAAAAACCAAACCGAAUCAAACCGAAUUUGAUAACCCCUAUUAAUAAGACUGGCAUUCCCUUCAUUAGUAGCCAUACUAUUAGAGAAUGAGGAAGUGUUGUCUGCAGUAAAUAAUGUAUCAGCAAAUGGUGCCAAGUGUAGAAGCAACAUUAAAUAGAUGAAACAAUUAUGUCAAGUCAUUUUAUUGAUUCUUAUUUUUAAAGUAUAAAGAACUUUCUUCAAUUAGACGCUCUUGAUAUAAACAAUUUUUUAGGAGGAUGGUAGCAUUUAUAUUCCUUUUGUGUUGCAGAAUAUCCCAAAAAAACACACUUAACGAAUCAAGCUUGUUACUGAUGUGAAAUUUGUAUAUGAACAAAACAAGUGUAACUAAACAUUUAUAAAUAAGAUAAAUUAGAUGGUUGUUUCUGCAAAACUUCAAGAAAAGAUUUAAAAUGUAAUACUUGACUAAGUAACUGAUUGAUUAGAUAUGCAACACAUAACACUUUGUGAGACCAAAAUAUUUUAGAAACAUGCAUGUGUAUCUCUAGUUAUUUUUUCAUAAGUCUUUGUUUUUACAUUCAGCUGCCUCAUUUUUAUUGUGGUAUGCCAACACAGCUGGAACAGACCCUUCGAUGUUGUUUUCCGAAUGGAUUAUAAGAACUUUUGUGCACUCUAUUCGAGCCCAUUUGCUAUGUCUUUCAAUUGAGGUUCACUAAAGCAUGUGGUUUGCUAACUUAAUUGCUGACACAAGAUGACCAUGUUUUGCUGCAAGAAUUAACACUAGCUGUGGUUUCUUGAAGAAACUUUCUUCAUUCCAAUAAUAACGGUAGGAAAAAGGUGAAUGUUAAGUUUGUCGGUAUAAGACCCAAUCUAGUUUGACACGUUAAUUUAAUGACUCAUUUAUUCAAAGUUUGGCUUGGUGGGUUAACGUGAUGACUAGGUCAACACAAUGACCCACUGACUCAGAGCUUGGCUUGGCCAAGUGACUGAAAAAUCAAAUAUAUAUAUUUUUUUUUAUCAAAACAACGAUGUUGUUUAAGUUUUUUUUUUUUGUUAAAAAAAAAAGCUUGGGAUGAAUUGAAUCAAACCCAUCAAUCUACAACCCCACCUUGCGUAGAGUAGACUCCUCGGUCAGGUAUUAUAAUUAUGGUUAUGUGUGAACUAUAAAAUAGAAAGAAAUGACAAGUUGAUCUCUCUUAAGAGAAAAGGAAGAUGAAUUGCCUCCGGUAGUAAAGAAUUAAUGUCUAACUUAUAUAGGUGCGUUAGUUGUGGAUUUUUCAUUGGAAAGAAAUGACAAGUUGAUCUUUCUUGAGAGAAAAUGAAGAUGAAUUGCCUACGAUAGUGAAGAAUUCAUGUCUAACUUAUAUAGGUGCGUUAGUUGUGGUUUUUCAUGAUUAAAUUAUGUGGAUUGUUUAACAGAGUUAUUUACCAAUCAAUAAGACAUGGUUAAGUUCAAAAAGAGGUUUGGAUUGAGCAGCGUGCUCGGUCUGAUAAAAAAUCCCAUAAUUUUUUAUAUAUUCUUUUAAUCACUCUCAAAUUUAGUUAGGAAAUUCCAAAGAUGGAGACCCAAAAGCCUUUAAAUUAGGCUUAGAAGGAGCUCAUCAAGUUAGUUUUGUUAUUUUUUUUUAAUUAUUUUGGAUUUUUAGUUUGGUUAGAACUUUUAUUGCUUGGUAUUUUAUGAUUAGGACUUUAGUUUCAUUUCUUGAGUACGUCAAUUUUUUAGAUUUAUUUAAAUAAUUAUAAAUAUAUUAAAAGAUACAAAAUAUUAAAGAGAAAAUAUGCAGUAAUAAAUUUUUAAAUUAAAAUUUUUAUGUCGUUAUUCUACAAAAUUUAACGGGUUUGUGUUUAUGUUUUUUUUUUUUUUAUCAUUAUUAUCCGGGCCCCGCAUCACUUACUUCCAAAUGAUGGUGUGACAGCUGAAGCCAAUCAGUGAUGAUCUACCGGUGAAGGAAGCAAAUAUCACUUGCUUAGUUGCUUUUGCGUGUGGUCAAGAACAAGAUGCAUAUCCCCUUGCACGUCACUACACAUGUAAGCAAGUUAUUAGUUGAACCAUUUAGGUGGUGCUCCAAUAAUAAAAAUUUAAGACCAAGAGGUUUGUAAUUUUUGUGGUUUCAAGUUCAAAUUCUAGGUUGCUUAUAUGAUGGCUACUGGAGGCUUACAUGGUCGUUAAUUUCAGGACUUGUGGGAUUAGUCGAGGUACGCGCAAACUAGCUCGGACACCCACGUUAAUCUAAAAAAAAAAGUUAGCAUUAGUUUACAAUAUUAAGGUGUACGGCUUUGAUUAAGUUUUAAAUUUGUUUUUUUAAAUUAUUAAUUUAAGUUUAAUAAAUUUUAAGAUUAUUAGAGAUUUAUGUAGUUAUUAAUUUUAAAAUUUAUAAAUUUAAUCAAGAUAUAUACAAAUUAACCAAACACUUAAAAUAAUAAUAAUAAAUUGGCAUUAGCCGGUGUAAUAGAUUUUAAUGCUAUAAAACAAAAGGAAGAAAAGAACAAAAAAAAAAGGUACGGUCAUUUCAUAAGGCCUCAACUUUAAUUAACUUCGUCAGAACUAAUGUUGCAUAGGAAAUAGAUCACUACAACAUGACCAAAUCAAACAAACUAUAUAUAUAUAUAACACACACAUGAUAAUUAAAGACUAUAACUUAAUUUAAUUUGAGGAGAAUGAAAUUAAGCCACGACAGGAAUUAAUCAACAUGGUAAAUAAUAUUGCAAUCAAAGUUAGAGCCUGCAAAUCCAAUCAAACUAAUAUUAACAUCAGAGUUAGAAACAGACAAGGAAAAAAAAGUACCCCUGGCACUAGUUACCAACAAAGAAAAAAGAAUCAGUGAAUUUUUGCAGGAGAUGAACAAGAUAAACAAAGUAACUUACCUGGUGAAGACUAGAAAGAUGCCGUUGUUGUUGUAUUGACUCUGGUUCUCACAAUGGAUGGUGAAAAGGAUGCCGUCGAUGAUGAAAAAAAUUAAAAAGGUGAGGGGCGAGGGCUGUUAUGGAGUAUCGGUUGACAGUGGUUGAUUGUUAGAUCGUGGACGGCUGAGAGAAAAAGAUUAAGAGACCGAGUCACUGAGGAAUCCUCAGUGAGGAUUUAUAAUUUUGGGAUUUUUUAUGUUCUGAACGUGAAUGGUUAAUGUAAAGAGAAGACUGCAUGCAUGAUUGAUGAUUGAGUGAAUUUGUAUUUACUCUGUUAAAGUCAAUACGCGGUCGACACCUGGCAGCCACAUUGCAUUUUUAUUUCCAGCGGCUAAACUCGUUCAAUCGGUGGUGAAAUCACGACUUUACAUAAUUUCACCCGAUUUUAAUGAUUUUACGUAUUUUCGAGUUUUAUAAAUGAUUUAGCACGUAAAGCCUAUAUUAACUCGUAAAAACGUAUGAUUUUACGAGUUGAAUCGCGAUUUUAACAACCUUGGUUAUAUGUCUUAUGGAAAUAAAAACUAAAAUCAUCAAAUUUAAUUUAAGAAAAUAAUAACUUACAAAAGAAAAUGGUUUAAUGAACUUAUCAAUUCUCAGUCGUAGUGAAUUUGCUGGCUUCGAUUCCCUACAUUGGAGUGUGAUUAUCGUGUGAAACGCUCGAACAUCACAUGAUAAAUAUAUCCCAUCUAUAUAUUUUCCGGGAUGUAUGACGGCUUGAAAUCCUUCUAAACCACCACGUCAUUCCAACCAGACAAAGCCUUUUUCCUAGCAUAAAUAUUUCUAAACUAUCCAUCAAGUUUCAGGUAUUUAUAUAGAUAUCUAUUAUCUAUUAUUAUUUAUUAAUUAAUAAAAAAUAAAAUAGUAUAUAUGCGUGUGUUUUUUUAAAAAAUAUCAUAUUAUUUUUUUAAAUAUAUUCAAUAAACAAGUAGGCUUCGGUUAAUAUUCAAAAGUCUCAUGUUAAAUUAUUACCCCUGUCCCGCCAUAUUACACAAGUUAUGCACAACUUUUUUUCUUUCUCCUCGUCCUUUAUCUUUUUGCUUAUUGCCGUAGCUUGUCGAUCCCUCUCGAUCAAAUUUACAAGCACCCGUCCCUUUUAAAAUAAUCAUCUUUUCUUUAAAUUAAAUUUAGGUUGUAGCUAAACAAAUUAAGUUUUAAAUUUAAUUUUAGAGAUUAUUAAUUCAAGUUUAAUAAAUUUUAGAAUAAUUAAAAAUUUAUAUAAUUAUUAAUUUUAUAAUUUAUAAAAUUAGUUGAAAUAUAAAUAAAUUGAUCGGAAUACUCAUAUUAAAAAUAAAUAACAUUAGUUGAUGUGAUAUAUUUUAAUACUAUCAAAAGGAAGAAAAGAAAAAAAAAAUACAGUCAUUCCAUGAGACCUCGACUUUAAUUAACUUCAUCAGAACUAAUGUUGGAUAGGAAAUAGAUCACUGCAACAUGACCAAAUCAAACAAACUAUACAUAUGAUAAUUAAAGACUAUAACUUAAUUUAAUUUGAGGAAUGAAAUUAAGCCACAGUAGGAAUUGAUGAUCAUUGAUGGAAUCAACAUGGUAGAUAAGGCGUAAACUCUUCAAGGUUUGCUUCCUAACCAUUGAUCAAUCAAGUUUCCAAAAGCAACAUACGAAGAUCCACCCUCCACCACAGCUUUCUUCGCCAUUUCACUGGUUUCUGUGGCCUUGUUCCUCAGUUCACCACCUUGUUCCAUCAUGGUUUUCACAGCUUUUGUUAUCACCUCCGCCUUGACAAAAUCUGUAGGGCAAUCUCUCCUAAAAUCCAACGUCAAUUCCACAGCUAAUCCCAAGUCUUUCACCAGCUGAAAUGCAUUCAUGUGUUGCUCAGCAUAUAAUGGCCAAGUUAUAAUAGGCACCGCAUGCCACAAGGCCUCCAAAGUUGAGUUCCAUCCACAGUGUGAUACGAAAGCGCCUACUGCUUUAUGUGCCAAGAUUUCUACCUGUGGUGCCCAUCCACAUAGCAUCCCAACGUUUUUAGUUCUUUCCCAGAAUCCCUGUGGCAAGAUCUCUUCAUAGUUGUCAAAAAAACUAGCUUGCAGCAUCCCCUUGGACGGUUUCAACCGAAUGGACCAUAAGAACCUAUGUCCACUCCUCUCGAGCCCGAUUGCAAUUUCUUUCAACUGAGCUUCAUCAAAGCCUCCUCCGCUCCCGAAGCACAAGAACACCACUGAUUUUUCAGGUUGAUCAUCAAGCCAUUUCAAGAUCUCGUCACGCUUGACGGCAUCGGAUCCUGACAGACUCUUUCCCUUGUGAUCAAUCAAUGGCCCAACAUUGAAAAUAGGUGGUAUAUCAUCUCUAGCCAAAAGAGCACUAACUGCAUGGGACUCAGCUUCUGAAAAUGUAUUAACAAUGAUACCGUUGGAGUCCUUAAACUUUCUUCCAUGGUUUGCAAAAGUCUCGUAUUCCACAUCGGUGUGCAAUAACGACAUGACACGGUAAGGCACGGGAUUUGAAAACAGGGGAUGAUAUAGUCAGGGUCAGUAGGGCUAAACUUAGGCUCACCCUUGUCUUGUCUAUCUGAAAGGUAAAGCGUCAUGGCAAGAAAGGCAGCAUCAGAAGUGUAAAAAACAUGAGAAGGGACCCCAAGUUCUUUGGAAACAUCAAUAAAGGCAGUGCAGAACAUAUCAACAACAACACUAGCAAUUGGUGCAGGGUUGUGGGCCAUGACUUGGUUAACAAUAGUAUCUUUUACAAGGGUUUUGUGAUCAUUGAUGUAAGAAGUAUAAGCACUUGCAGGGCUUACAGCUAAAGCUUCUGUAGGAAGUGCAGGUAUGGUCUCAGGAAUUUCGAUGAACCUGAUUUCUGUAUGAAUUGAAGCAAGCGAUUCGCUGUUCUUGCUUGUGCCACCGUAAAUUGGAUUGUGGAUGGCAAGCAUGGUUAUCAAGAAACUGUCGUUUCUCUCAAGAACCAUCUUUGCUAACUGAACAGCUGAUACAAG
rnacentral:lncRNA from 1 species